GACGAACGCUGGCGGCGUGCUUAACACAUGCAAGUCGAACGGAAAGGCCCUGCUUUUGUGGGGUGCUCGAGUGGCGAACGGGUGAGUAACACGUGAGUAACCUGCCCUUGACUUUGGGAUAACUUCAGGAAACUGGGGCUAAUACCGGAGAGGAGCUCCUGCUGCAUGGUGGGGGUUGGAAAGUUUCGGCGUUUGGGGAUGGAAUCGCGGCUUAUCAGCUUGUUGGUGGGGUAGUGGCUUACCAAGGCUUUGACGGGUAGCCGGCCUGAGAGGGUGGCCGGCCACAAGGGGACUGAGAGACGGCGCAGACUCCUACGGGAGGCAGCAGUGGGAAAUAUUGCACAAUGGGCGGAAGCCUGAUGCAGAGACGCCGGGUGCGGGAUGACGGCCUUCGGGUUGUAAACCGCUUUCGCCUGUGACGAAGCGUGAGUGACGGUAAUGGGUAAAGAAGCACCGGCUAACUACGUG
rnacentral:rRNA from 1 species